CGGUGGUAAAAUCCAUGUGAAGCUUCAAUAUUUUGGUGUGACAAAGGACCGCAACUGGGCCCGUGGUAUCGUAAGUCGUAAGUUUCCUGGAGUUCCCUAUACGUUUUAUCCGCAGAGAAAAGGGUGUAAAGUUUCUCUGUACCAGGAUGCUCAUAUCCCAGACGGAUUUGUUCCUAAAAUUCCUCUUGCUGGAGGCAAGAAUUAUGAGCCACAUAGAUGCUGGGAAGAUAUUUUUGAUGCUAUCACCAACGCUAAACACAUGAUCUACAUUACUGGUUGGUCUGUUUAUACUGAGAUCAGUUUGGUGAGAGACUCAAGAAGGCCAAAGCCUGGGGGUGACAUCACUAUUGGUGAAUUGCUGAAAAAGAAAGCAAGUGAAGGUGUCAGGGUUAAUAUGCUUGUUUGGGAUGAUAGAACUUCUGUUGGAUUGCUGAAGAAGGAUGGGUUAAUGGCCACCCAUGAUGAGGAAACUGAACAAUUCUUCAAGG
rnacentral:lncRNA from 1 species